rnacentral:misc_RNA from 1 species
CGCACAUUGCGCCCGCCAGCACUCUGGCGGGCAUGCCUGUUCGAGCGUCAUUUCAACCCUCAGGCCCUGCCUGGCGUUGGGGCGCUGCCGUCCACCAAGCGGCAGGCCCCUAAAGACAGCGGCGGGAGCGCCUGCGACCGAGCGUAGUACAGCACCUCGCUCAGGGAGCACGGCGCCCUCCGGCCGUAAAAGCACCUAUAAAUAUAGUGGUUGACCUCGGAUCAGGUAGGAAUACCCGCUGAACUUAA